rnacentral:rRNA from 1 species
GACGAACGCUGGCGGCGUGCCUAACACAUGCAAGUCGAACGAGACCUUCGGGUCUAGUUGCGCACGGGUACGUGACACGUGGGAACCUACCCUUAGGUUCGGAAUCCCUGCCCGAAGGGGGUGCUAAUGCCAGUUAGUGUCUUCGGGCCAAAGAUGUAUCGCCUUUGGCUGGGCGCGCGUUGGAUUCGCUAGUUGGUAGUGUAAUAGCCUACCAAGGCGACGAUCCAUAGCUGGUCUGAGAGGAUGACCAGCUACACUGGGACUGCGACACGGCCCAGACUCCUACGGGAGGCAGCAGUGGGGAAUAUUGGACAAGGGGCGAAAGUGUGAUCCAGCAACGCGGCGGGAGUCAUGAAGGCCGUAGUGUUGUAAAGUCCUCUUACACGGGACGAGAAUGACAGUAACGGGUGAAUAAGCUCCGGCUAACUCCGUG